rnacentral:lncRNA from 1 species
CGAAAUGUCAGAGCCUCUGAGGGGUCACAGCUCAGCCUCAGGACAUGGGAACGAGGCACAAAAUGAAAAGAAAUCCCCGGCUAUCCUCGGUGAGGAGAAAUAUUCCGCCAGGCUGAGGACAUUAAACCAGCCUAAAGAAGCCUCCCAGUACUGAGAUGGCCACUAAUGGAUCUUGAAGUUUGCCUGUGGAAGCCCCUGAUAUUCAAGUGUAUAAAUUGGAGUUUAUUUCAGUAAAUCACCACAGGACGUGAGGCAAAAAAAGCUGAGCAAGGCUGCAAAGUGCCCUGGGAAAUGGAGUUACUUGGAAUGGUCAGGAUGAAAUUUAGCUUCUGAGAGGAGUCAGGACUUGUCCUGUGGAAGCUGGAGUGAAAAGAAUGUAAGCAAGAGAGAAGCUGGCCUGCCCAAAUGCAAGUGCUCCUUGGCUGUGCAGGAUGGAGAUGCAUAACUUUUCCUGAGGAACUAGUGAUAAUCCAGGAUGCUGGCAGGCCAUCAAGACCCUGUCAGAAGAUUUUGAGGCAACAUCCAUCCUCCAGAACCCCCCCUUGCAGACUGUGUGGUUCCAGCUGUCUGUCAUCAGUCAGGAUUGGCUCCUCCAGCCCAGCGAGGUGUGAAGGACAACCUCCUGUGACCUGGUGGCAACCUGAGCCUGUCAGACCUUGGCCACGUGCAGACUUCAGAGAGCAAGGAGAGCGCUGUUUCUACAAAGGCUUGUGCUGA